rnacentral:snRNA from 1 species
GUGCUCACUUCAGCACCACAUAUACUAAAAUUGAAUGAUACAGAGAUUAGGAUGGCCCCUGCACAGGGAUGAUAUGCAAAUUUGUGAAGAAUUCCAUUUUUUG